AAUUGCAGUGGCUCUCCUUGUAACUCCCUGCUGUUUGACUGAAAGUGUUGCUGAGAAAUAUGUAGGACAAUGUAACUCUACAGGUGAACUUCCAGCCCCACAUUUUUUUAUGAAUGGAACUUCAGUGCAAGUGGGAGAGUGGGUCCUCUUGCAAUGCUGGCUUAGUAAUGAAUUUGAGGUGAAAAACUUUUAUUUCUGUAAAGAUGGGCAUCCCCUUUCAACUCCCACUGCCUUCUUAUAUGAUGGCAUUUACAAGGUGUCACUCCAGAUCUCACAGCAAAGUGCAGGCCACUAUAGCUGUGGGUAUCAAAGAAUGGACAGGGAGAGCCAGAUGAAGAAGUUUGCCCACAGCGCUGUUCAGAAUCUGAUUGUCUUAUCAG